CGACUGUAUCCGUCCCAUUUUUAUUCCUAAUAAUCGAUGCUGAUUAAAUCAUGUGGUGAGGAUGGGCGGGAGGAUGUCGGACUUGAUGCCGAGCACCUUGGCGUUGGUGUCCGGGAAGGUUUCCGUCGUGGCCACGAUCUUGCCGCCGCCGUCGUCGAGCACGCUGACCGGGUACGCCAUGAGGUGGCCCGGGAGGUUGCCCUGGAACGCGUCGCUCGCGAACAUGUCCCAGUGCUGCUUCGCCACCUGGUUCAUCCGGCGCACGCAGGUCAGGCUCGACGGACGGAGGAGAUCGCCGCCCAGUGCCGCCGCCGCCGCCUGCCCCAGGUGCUCCUUCCACAGGGAGACCCGGAAGCCAUGGACCUGCCCCCUCGCCGCCCAGUGCCGCCGCCGCCGCCUGCCCCAGGUGUUCCUGAUCGCCAGGUAGCCCGGCUGGUACGCGCCGAUCGCGAUCUCCGUGUCGCGGCCGCCGUCCAUGGAGCGCUGGUUGAUGUUCGCCGAUCCCACGAUGAUGUACUCGUCAUCCACUGCACGCAAACGACCACCAGUCUCAGACGGAAACCAUUAGUAAGUAUUAUGGUCGUCAAUAAAUUACCUAUCAUGGUC
rnacentral:misc_RNA from 1 species